UGUCCUUGGCGCCUCCAUGUUGCGGCUGCUCCAUGUCGGGGCCGGGCUGAGGCGCGCCGCCCAAGCUGUUGUUGUUGGAAAUGGGAUGUUGCUGCUGCUGCUGCUGCUGCUGUUGCUGCUGCUGCUGCUGCUGCUGGAACUGGUUUAGCUGCUGCUGUACCCGGAUAUGGGUAAAUACACGACUAGCUGAGCCUAUCGGGCCCAGCAUGGCUUGAGAGGCAGCGGGCGAGCUCGAGCAACUAUUAUCCACUUCGCUCGCAUUACUCCCGCGCACUCGCAAAACGCGGACUGGACUCGUCCCCGGGCCGCCGCCGCCCGCCCCGGCGCAGCCUCGCGGGACCCAGCCGGGCUGGGGCUAAGGCUGGGGCCGGGGCCGGGGCGGCUCGGCGGCCGCUCGGAGCGCGGCGGCGUGGGGCGGCCGGAACCUGCACUUUCCCCCCGGGCCGCUGUCUCCUUGCCAACCGGGCGUUCGCAUGUUUGUUUUCACGUCUAAAAGGAACGAUACAAAGGUGGAAAACGAGUCUGACGAGCAGACAAAAGAGGGAGAAGGGCUGGGAAACAAAGUUGUCUAUUGGCCUCAGAGGUUACAAGGAGCCGACGGAGAAAGAAAAUAUUUAGGCAGUCUGAAAAAGCACGGUCUCUCCCAGGAGUUAUGUAAUUUUCAGAACGUUCGCCUCUGCCUUGAUUUCGGGCCAUCGGCGUAAUUCCCACAACUUCUUCCAACUGCAAAAUUAGGAAAGAUUUGAAAUAAAGGUUAGCCCCGGUCAGAGAGCCCUAUGGCCUGUACCCAGUAGGUACUCAAUAAAUGCUUAUGACUGACUGCACCCGCCCCAAAGAGAAUGUUUACAUAACUCUUUUUGAAGGCACCUUAAACACGUAUGUAGGUUUGUCAGUGUAUUUCCAAAGGAAUAUGUCCACGUAUUCCCAAAGGAGCAUUUUUCUUACAUGCACUUGGAUGUCCUCUGUGGAGUAUGUACAGUGGUGUUUUCUGCGCCAACUUUCACAUGAAAAUUUAACUCUUGGUGCCAGAACAGCGACAGCUAUGGGUUAGCUCGUAUCUUCAUAAAUCUAUAUGACACCUUUCAUCAUGUUUCAGAGCUUCGUGUGCACAGUUAACCCUCUCGAUAUACAUUCAUUUCAAAGAGAUGUAGAACGAAACUAAAAUAUUAUAGACAUUAUAUUUAAUAAAUAUAACUUCAAUAAUAAUAUAAAACAGUCAACUCUA
rnacentral:antisense_RNA from 1 species